CGUAGAAGACGAGUUCGAUAGACUCGGGGUGUACGCGCCAAGGCAACGAGGCGUUGAGCCCGCGAGCACUAACAGAUCGAGC
rnacentral:rRNA from 1 species